CCUGCGCGCCGCCCGGGCCAUGCCCAGCUAGCCCCCAGCAGCCGCGGCAACUUUCUCUUCCCCUCCCGCGCCCGUGGAAGAUGGCAGUUUGGGGAAGGGCUGGAAGUUGCAGCCCGGGAGCGGAGCGGUAAGAGGCAGCGGCAGGGAAGAUUGCAUCUUCAGAUUCACCUCAUCUUGGCUAGAACAUUCCAAUCUGGUCUACUGCUGCCAAGAUCUGGUCUCGAGCUGUUAACAAUUUAUCGUUUCAUCAGCAACAAUGAGCUCUACAACACAGCCAGGGUUGUUGUUUCUCCAAUAUCUGGGGCUGACAGGGCUACAAGGUAG